CCGCGGUAAUACGUAGGGUGCAAGCGUUAAUCGGAAUUACUGGGCGUAAAGGGUGCGCAGGCGGUUUGGCAAGAAAGAUGUGAAAUCCCAGGGCUUAACCUUGGAACUGCAUUUUUAACUGCCAGGCUAGAGUGCGUCAGAGGGGGGUAGAAUUCCACGUGUAGCAGUGAAAUGCGUAGAGAUGUGGAGGAAUACCGAUGGCGAAGGCAGCCCCCUGGGAUGACACUGACGCUCAGGCACGAAAGCGUGGGGAGCAAACAGG
rnacentral:rRNA from 1 species